rnacentral:lncRNA from 1 species
CCAACUCAUCCCACAAUCUCUUUAGCUUGUUGAAGGAAGAUGCUAUAUCCAAAGAUCCUUGACUAGUAGAUGCUAACUCUUGCUUAAUCUCAAAUAUUUUUGUACCAUUGAUAGUCCCAUACCUACUAUUAAGCUGAGUCCAAAUAUUUUGAGCAGUGUUAGAAUAUUGAACACUCUCAGCUAUCUCUGGCGUACGGGAAUUAGUGAGCCAAGAGAUAACCAUAUUAUUACACCUAUCCUACUACCUAGAAUGAGGGGAAUUUUCUGGAGGUUUGGGAAUUGUUCCAUCAAUAAAACCUAUCUUAUUCCUAGCAGAUAGGGAAACAAUUAUAUUUC